UUAGAGAAGGAAUGUAUAAUGAGGAAGGAGUAUAAAAAUAAAGGGGAAGGACCAGUGUUUAGGUAACAUACAACAGACAUUCAAGAAACGCUUCAGACCGACCGACUGUAGAAGUGAAAUAACCAGCUAGAGUUUAAUAUUCUGACCAAGGAGCAGCAAGACCAACAUGAUGAAGAUCUUUCUGCUCCUCCUCUCACUGAUGGCAGAAAGAUGGCUGCCAGGGAUUUCUUCAAACUGCGUACAGAACGGCUAAAACCACCAUCACAUGUGAUUAUCCAGGAAACAAACACAGGAACCAACAGAGGAUUCAGUGUGUCCAUCAGUAAUGUGUCCUCACAUGAUGCUGGUCUCUACUGGUGUGGAGUGAAUGAAGGAAAUUACCGAACUGGACUCAGAAAAAUCCAACUGAAGGUUGAAGAUAUUAGGACAUUCACAAAGUCUCCAACUAUUGGACAGAAUUUUACAUACUGGUGUGAAUAUAAAAAUGAUCCUCCGAUAAAGAAAUUCAUCUGUAAGGG